rnacentral:lncRNA from 1 species
UGAAAAAUGCCUUUAGAUUAGCUAUGAAGCAACUGACUGAAAGGUGACCUGAGAAAUAAGAGCCAACAUGACCUAUUAUUGGAGCAAAUAAUCUGUGGAGGCUUAAUAAAUGAAGAGAAAAUAAAAGUAAGGUCAGGAAGGAAACGUUUGGUAGCAGUCAAUACAGUGAUUAGAGAGCAAGUUUCAGGAAUGUCUCAGAAGGACAAAGAGGUUACAUCAGCACAUCAGAAACACUGUUUUUUCAGAGAUGAUGCCAGGAAAUGUGGCCUUGCCUUGAGACAUGAAUUCACCAAGUUGCGGGCCAACAAACUACUGUAAGCAUUUCUCAUGGACCACCGUGACCUUCCUUCACAAGUCCGAGAUGGAAACAUUCAGAAUUGAAGAGAAAACCUCACCCAGAGCCUGAGGACCGCUCGCCACCCACAGCACACGGUGUGGGAACUUCUGCUCUAACGCAACGAAGCAUCUAGCGUGUGACUCACCCAAUACCUGCAUACCAUGAAAAGGAAACAAAGCCUCAUAACUCCUCUCUGGAGAUCCACAGUUAUCUUGCCUACUCUGGGCUGUGGGGACACAUAGCCUAUCAAACCCAAGGUCCUUGCUACUGCACACAACAGAGCCAGCAGUGACACUGGAGAGGGGAAGAGCCCUCCAUGAAGCUGUGCGGGAAAGGAGGUGGCAAGGGCUGUUUUUUCUUAGGCAAAGCUUGACUUGUUUAUACUGAAGCCUUCAACAUACUGCUUAUUGCUGGACAAGCAGAUCAAAGCAAAGGGCAAUAUUAUAUAUUUAUGUAGCUUCAACAGCGUGUUAGGCACUUAAUUUGCCAUCUUGGGCUGCUCCUUUUGCUGUGAUAUUUCAGACAGGGAUUCUCAUUUAUCACACUGAUCCCACUCAGGAACUGGAGCACAAGGUCAGCUAUCAUUGGCUCUGUCAUGCUUAAAGGCUGCAGAGCUCUGGUAAUUAAGACUGUUAGAUGGGAGGGCCUCUUUUCCUGCUAUUUGAUGUAGAGUAGGUGCAGAUGAAAGAUUUAUAGUUUUAAUUCAAAUAUGGGACUUGUCUUUGACAACUUAAUUGUGUUUGCAGAGAAGUUCUGGACCCUUUCUCUUGCCAAGUCAUUACAGAAAGGCCUCACAUCUUGGAUCUACCAGGAAGCUGUUUGGAUUAAAUGAAAUAACCAAAGGGACUCUGCAUUAGUGCUGAUAGAAGCAAUAAACAUUUGCUUGUCCUUCUUUUGCUUGUAGUAAAUAUGUGCAUGUUGCUUAAGACAGUACAUUUUCUUAAUUCAAGGCCAAAGUAGGUAUAUGUUUUCCUAACUUAUUUUCUGUGUCUAUAU